UCCUACGGGGGGCAGCAGUAGGGAAUUUUCAUCAAUGGGCGCAAGCCUGAACGAGCAAUGCCGCGUGAACGAGGAAGGUCUUCGGAUCGUAAAGUUCUGUUGAAGGGGAAAAAGAGCGGAGAGAGGAAAUGGUCUCCGAUUGAUAUUACCCUUCGAGGAAGUCACGGCUAACUACGUGCCAGCAGCCGCGGUAAUACGUAGGUGGCGAGCGUUAUCCGGAAUGAUUGGGCGUAAAGGGUGCGUAGACGGCCUGCUAAGUCUGGAGUGAAAGGUACCGGCUCAACCGGUACAGGCUCUGGGAACUG
rnacentral:rRNA from 1 species